rnacentral:snRNA from 1 species
AGAUCGCUUGAACCCGGGAGACAGAUGUUGCAGUGAGCUGAGAUCGCACCAUUGCACUCCAGCCUGGGCGACAAGA